GGCCUGAUAGUGUAACGACAACACACUCUCUUGCUAUGCCGGCCUUCCAUACAUUUCUGAGGGAGCCUCUUGUUCAAAUCAAGGUCAGGCCA